rnacentral:rRNA from 1 species
AUAUUAAAGUUGUUGCAGUUAAAAAGCUCGUAGUUGAAUUUCGGGGUCAGUAGGUCGGUCGUGCCACUGGUAUGAACUGGUUUUACUGAUUCCUCCCUCUUGAAGAACUGUAAUGCCAUUAAUUUGGUGUUGCAGGGAAUCAGGACUGUUACUUUGAAAAAAUUAGAGUGUUUAAAGCAGGCUUUAGCUUGAAUACAUUAGCAUGGAAUAAUGAAAUAGGACGUUUGAUCCUAUUUUGUUGGUUUCUAGGAUUGACGUAAUGAUUAAUAGGGAUAGUUGGGGGCAUUAGUAUUCAAUUGUCAGAGGUGAAAUUCUUGGAUUUAUUGAAGACUAACUACUGCGAAAGCAUUUGCCAAGGAUGUUUUCAUUAAUCAAGAACGAAAGUUAGGGGAUCGAAGACGAUCAGAUACCGUCGUAGUCUUAACCAUACACUAUGCCGACUAGGGAUCGGAUGAUGUUAAUUUUUUAAUGACUCAUUCGGCGCCUUACGGG